CUUUACAAUUGGAAUUUAAACAGAAUGCCUCCAAGGGACGCAAGCACACGAGUUCUGAAAAUAAAUGUUUUAAGUCUAAACUAAGGAAUUGAAAUUACAUAUUCUCUGUUUGAGAAUGUUUGAUUCAGGUUCCUUUUGCUCUAUGUCUUUUCUUCAUUUUAUAUUCCCUUGAUGAUCUCUUCGUGAUCAACCGCUUAAUUGCUUUAUAACUGUCCACUUUUUUCAUGGUGCCCAACUUAUCGUGGAACUGCCGUCUCUAACUGUUGUCAAUACUUUUUGUCGUUCAACCGUCUUCAACUGAACAUCCUUGGAUCGUAGAACGUGAUAAAAUUACUUAAUAACUGCUUCGAUAAUUACACUUUUGGAUAACCAUAACAUCUUAUGUUUGCUAAGAUCCUGGGCGAUUCGAAGGUUUGAGCGAGAACAGGGUCAUAACUCUGGACAACUGCAAGGCACUUCAUUCCCUCAGAUCUUGAACGUCUUGCAAGUUUGGG
rnacentral:lncRNA from 1 species